AUGUCCUGGGUGCUGCAAGAUGCAGGCAUUGCCUCGAGAUCCACGGGAAUGGCACUGGGAUGGCAUCAGGCUUCCCAGGUGAAGCUGAGGGGGAGCUCUGCUGUCGUGGCCACACGAGAUGAGUGUUCUCACCUCCGAGACUGCAGAGUGCAUCGAUGCACCAGUCCUCGUCUUGUGCACAUCGUAAAACCACAAAGGAUCAAGCCCCAUUGUUAUUCCAAAGCCCCUUUUCCCAGCUUCUCCUCUCCCAGGACAAGUCUGUCACUUGCUGGAUGCCUGUACCGGGGGAGAAGAGCCCAUUUGCCAAGAGCUCCGAGUGAAACACUUACAGGACCUUCUUCUGGAGUAUUUGGUUCUGUUAAACCAGGAGAGAACGGGCUUUUUGCCAUCCCUUCAUAAAUAAAU
rnacentral:lncRNA from 1 species